UGGCCGUCCAUGGAUAUACUUCGAAACAUCUUUGGGGAAGAUGCCGGCAUCGAGGUUGGUCAGGCCGGUGGCCAGCUUCUUGACCUUGCCUUCGGGCAGCAGCGAGGCCGCGCUUUUGGCGAGCUGCUUGUAAGUGGCCUCAUCGGCGUUCUCGAGGUCGGCCAGUUUGGCGUAGCCAGCCACGGAAUCGAAGUAGUUCGUGUUCUUGUAUUGCUCAACAAGCGCGUAAUACUUUCUGACCUUUUGCUCUAAUUCCUGCAGGCGACGGUAUUUUUCCAGGGCCUGCUGAUAAACUCGAUUAGCUGAGUCGGCCACCUUCCGGGCGCUGGCCUGUGUGCGUUGCAGCCGGGUGGUGGAAUCGGCAACUACGGAAUCCGUUCUUCCCAGCAGCCGCGGUAAU
rnacentral:rRNA from 1 species